rnacentral:lncRNA from 1 species
AAGCAAUAACAUCAUCAUCAUCAUGAAAACAUAUAUAUGAACUGUAUAACAUAAUACCUAUCAAACUUUUCGUAAUUCAAUCGUUACACAACAUAUUUUCUUGAUUCACCAGCCUACUAGUAUCCAUGGGGAUCCAUAGGGGUCCUGCUACCCGUUAAUCCUUAACACUUGAAAUCCAUUCCAGGGCCGUCCCCAUACCCCGUCCGGUAUGGGCGCCAAACCAUAGACCUCAAUACCCCGUCCGGUAUGAGGGUGAAACG